rnacentral:rRNA from 1 species
AGCUUUUUGUUUUUUUAAUUAAAAGUGGGUUCUGCUCAGUGUUCAUAAAUAGCUGCAGUAAAUUGACUGUGCAAAGGUAGCAUAAUCAUUUGCCUUAUAAAUGGGGGCUAGAAUAAACGGAUUUAUGAAAAUUUUUCUUUCUUUGAAUUUUUUUAUGAAAUUGUAGUUGGUGUGAAGAUACACUAUACAAAAUAAAAGACAAGAAGACCCUUUUGAGCUUUAUUUUUUUUUUUGUUUGAUUUAUUAUCCAAUUUGUAAUUUGGCUGGGGCGGUUAGAGAAGAAUUAUUUAGAAUCUUCUUUUUUAUUUUUGAACCAUAGUUUUUGGUUUUUAGAUUUAGUUACCAAAGGGAUAACAGCGUAAUUUUUUCUUAGAGUUCUAAUUAACGAAAAAGGUUGCGACCUCGAUGUUGACUUAUAGUCACCUUUUGGUGUAGCCGCUAAUAAGGCGGGUCUGUUCGACCCUUAAUAUUUU